rnacentral:rRNA from 1 species
UGGGGAAUUUUCCGCAAUGGGCGAAAGCCUGACGGAGCAAUGCCGCGUGGAGGUGGAAGGCCUACGGGUCGUCAACUUCUUUUCUCGGAGAAGAAACAAUGACGGUAUCAGAGGAAUAAGCAUCGGCUAACUCUGUGCCAA